UACGGGGGGAGCAAGCGUUGUUCGGAUUUACUGGGCGUAAAGGGCGCGUAGGCGGUCAGCACAAGUCAGUUGUGAAAUCUCCGAGCUUAACUCGGAAAGGUCAACUGAUACUGUGCGACUAGAGUGCGGAAGGGGCAACUGGAAUUCUUGGUGUAGCGGUGAAAUGCGUAGAUAUCGUAAGGAAGACCAGUGGCGAAGGCGGGUCUCUGGACAGUUCCUGACGCUGAGGCACGAAGGCCAGGGGAGCAAACGGG
rnacentral:rRNA from 1 species